rnacentral:tRNA from 1 species
UCCCUGGAGGACUAGUGGUUAAGCCACAGCGCUCUCACCGCUGCGGCCUGAGUUCGAGUCCCAGCCAGGGCU